rnacentral:lncRNA from 1 species
UAUAUGUCAUAUAUCUAACAUAAGGGCCUUUAUUGUCAUAAGUUAAAAGUCCUUUAGCUGGCCUAGACCAGUAAAACUUGCGGCUGGACAUCAUCACAGCCGAAGAUGUGGCUUUGGACAUGAUUUUAAGCUCCAUUUCUCCCAACUAACCUUAUUAAAUACACCCUUAACCCAAACCCUAUUUGUUUAAAACAUUUUCAGCCGCCCCCUUUUCUCUCCUCCACUCCGGCAGCCGGAGCGAAUUCCGGCAAGUCUCUGGCGCUGCUCAUCUCUGGCCAGACCCACACCUUUCGACCAUCCUCCUCCUCCCUCUUCCUCACUCACACCCGUAAGCCCCUUCCUCUUCGGCAUCGGCUCAGCCGGAGGCACACACACUCAAAAACACUGACCGUUUUACUCCCUCUCUCUCUCUCUCGCCGGAAUACCCAACUUGUCGGAGUUCGAAGACUCUGCCGGAGCAGACGGAUUUCGCCGGAGAUCGGAAUCCAUUUCGGGUUCACGACAUUUUGAUUUCGAACCGAAAGAUGAGAAGGUAAACUAACGACAGUGUUGUCGUUCCUUUUGAACGAUGGAGGAAGGAACCUGCUGAAUCCUCGGCGUCGAUCGGAGCUUAUCGGAGUUGUCACCGGAGACGUACCGGGAAACUGACGGUGGUUGUUUUACUGUGUUAGGAUAAACGUAUCUCGUUCGUUAUUUUGGGAAUUCUUCAUCUUUACUCGUGUGUCAUUUCAAGAAAUCUCCAUAUGCAAGACUGUUGAGGAUGAUGAUGCUAUGAAAUGAAGUAGCGUUGAUACCUAGAUACACAUAUAGACGUUUAGGUUUAAUCAUUGUAUCAAUUUUGAUUAUGUUGUAGUGUAUUUCCUUUGAACUUGAUGUUAUUUGAUUUCUUUGUAAUGUUGACGAAUGAAUUAUGAAAUGAAAUCGGU